UCUGGGAUUAGAUACCCUGUUAUUUAAAAUGUAAAUUUUGAUACUAAGGUAGUAGUAGUUAUGUUCUUGAAACUUAAAAAAUUUGGCGGUAUUUUAGUCUAUUCAGAGGAACUUGUUCUAUAAUCGAUAAUCCCCGAUGGACCUUACUUAAAUUUGUAAUCAGUUUAUAUACCGUCGUUAUUAGAAUAUUUUAUAAGAAUGAUAAUUUUCAUAAUUUUUAAUAAGAAAAUAUAUCAGAUCAAGGUGUAGCUUAUAUUUAAGUAGAAAUGAGUUACAAUAAAUUUAUUUAAGUGAAUAUAAAUUUGAAAUAUUUAUUGAAGAUGGAUUUGAUAGUAAAAUUAUAGAGAUUAAUAAUUUGAUUUUAGCUCUAAAAUAUGUACAAAUCGCCCG
rnacentral:rRNA from 1 species